AUGAACGCUGGCGGCGUGCCUCAUACCUGCAAGUCGAGCGAACAGACGAGGAGCUUGCUCCUCUGACGUUAGCGGCGGACGGGUGAGUAACACGUGGAUAACCUACCUAUAAGACUGGGAUAACUUCGGGAAACCGGAGCUAAUACCGGAUAAUAUAUUGAACCGCAUGGUUCAAUAGUGAAAGACGGUUUUGCUGUCACUUAUAGAUGGAUCCGCGCCGCAUUAGCUAGUUGGUAAGGUAACGGCUUACCAAGGCAACGAUGCGUAGCCGACCUGAGAGGGUGAUCGGACACACUGGAACUGAGACACGGUCCAGACUCCUACGGGAGGCAGCAGUAGGGAAUCUUCCGCAAUGGGCGAAAGCCUGACGGAGCAACGCCGCGUGAGUGAUGAAGGUCUUCGGAUCGUAAAACUCUGUUAUUAGGGAAGAACAAAUGUGUAAGUAACUAUGCACGUCUUGACGGUACCUAAUCAGAAAGCCACGGCUAACUACGUG
rnacentral:rRNA from 1 species